rnacentral:rRNA from 1 species
CCUACGGGUGGCAGCAGUGAGGAAUAUUGGUCAAUGGACGAGAGUCUGAACCAGCCAAGUAGCGUGAAGGAUGACUGCCCUAUGGGUUGUAAACUUCUUUUAUAUGGGAAUAAAAUGUUCCACGUGUGGGAUUUUGUAUGUACCAUAUGAAUAAGGGUCGGCUAACUCCGUGCCAGCAGCCGCGGUAAUACGGAGGAUCCGAGCGUUAUCCGGAUUUAUUGGGUUUAAAGGGAGCGUAGGUGGAUUGUUAAGUCAGUUGUGAAAGUUUGCGGCUCAACCGUAAAAUUGCAGUUGAAACUGGCAGUCUUGAGUACAGUAGAGGUGGGCGGAAUUCGUGGUGUAGCGGUGAAAUGCUUAGAUAUCACGAAGAACUCCGAUUGCGAAGGCAGUUCACUGGACUGCAACUGACACUGAGGCUCGAAAGUGUGGGUAUCAAACAGGAUUAGAUACCCGAGUAGUC